GAUGAAGAACGCAGCGAAAUGCGUUAAGUAAUGUGAAUUGCAGAAUUCAGUGAAUCAUCGAAUCUUUGAACGCACAUUGCGCCCGCCAGUAUUCUGGCGGGCAUGCCUGUUCGAGCGUCAUUACAACCCUCAGGCCCCCGGGCCUGGCGUUGGGGAUCGGCGGAGCCCCCCGUGGGCACACGCCGUCCCCCAAAUGCAGUGGCGGUCCCGCCGCAGCUUCCAUCGCGUAGUAGCUAACACCUCGCGACUGGAGAGCGGCGCGGCCACGCCGUAAAACACCCAACUCUUCUGAAGUUGACCUCGAAUCAGGUAGGAAUACCCGCUGAACUUAAGCAUAUCAAUAAGCGGAGGA
rnacentral:misc_RNA from 1 species